CCCCAGUUCUUGGAAGUUAGCUGUUUCUCCUCCUCGCAGACAACCUCCAGAGCAGGGCAGCAGGCAGCUGCUAGAGAUUUAUUUCUCCACUUAGUUGUCUCCGCUUGCGGCUUCCUCCCAUGAGUGAGGACCAAGAGAAGCCCCCUGUCUCUGAUGAAAGUGGGGGAUGAACACUGAACCAAACCCACACUGCUCAGCACAUUUGAUGUGGCCAGAAACAGACUGCAAAGGCUGAGAAAGCUUUUCAGGGGCCGUCUGGCUGUGUGGGUGCGAAGACCUGGCUGUACUUGGAAUCACCUGGGAAGACUUACAAAAAUGGUUUCCGAGCCUCACCCGCAAGGAUUCUGACUUGGCAAUGGAAGAAUGAAAGGCAACCCAGAGUGAAAUUAGGAUUACAAUUUUACAAACGUCUGUUUCUGACGCAGGAAGCACAUCAUUUGUCCACAUCACACUCUCUUGGAAUUUAUGACAAAGCCAGGUAAAUGAAAACUUGGAAAGAUAAACCUCAGAUAAGGGGGACUACUGUAUUCAUUCCUUCACCAUGGCGUGUCUGUGUCUGAGAAUCUACCCUCAAAAACAAUCUGGAUGCAAAGAAGCCGUGAGAUAGAGCGCAGUCCCUUCAUUUCAUAAAAGAAUGAAACUAACUCAAAUACACAAGGCAAUGGGUGAGUAAAGUAUUGCACUACCCUUAAUGUAAUAUUGUGGGGCCAUUGAAAACAUGCUCACAUGUUUGUGGAAAUCUGAGAAGUGUUUCUAUCUAUGGCAUUUCAUCACAUUUAAGACACUGUUGAUUAGAGAACACACCACCAUUUCACGUACCUUUAAGGAAGAAAAAAAUACCCAGAAUGGUUAUUUAAUAAGGGACGUCUAAGUAAAGCUGGGAUCCUAAAGGGCUAUUUCUUUGGUGGGAGGAGAAUGAUAAACAGCCUCGUCAGGCAGAAAGAGCCAGUGUCCCAGGCAUGGACCCGGAUGCAGGGAGGGAACAAAACUGCCCCUGAGGACGUGCACAAGCCAGUACUCAUGCUGGUUUGAGUCUGAAUUUGCACAAACAUAUGUUCUGGAAACACCUCAAGCAAAUGCUGUAACUGAAUUUAAGUUUAAGGUUAUGUCAAGUUGGCAGUGCCCCCAGGUGACUGGCAGAAACAAAUACAACCUCCUCUAGAAAGAAGUGAAUGUUAACACCAGCUGACAGUGCCUGUAAAACAUCAGCCACUGUACAGUGCAAGAUCCAGAGACGUUAAAAUGUGAAGUGAGUUUUAGAAUUUACCAUAAGUAAAAAAGAAGAAUCAAAUGGGUAUGUGGAGGAUGACAUCUCUUUGCCGAGUAGACCGACUGGAAGGAAAAACUGGAAGUAAAAUGUUCACAGUGAUCUUCUGUAGGUGCUAAGACUACAGCAUUUUCUUUCUUUAAACGAGUCUGCGUUUUCCAGCUUUUUGUAAAGUGACCAUAUAAAAAAAGGAGAAAUAAGGAGACGCAAGUGAGAGAAUGACUUUGGGUGGGGUAGUCAAGGAGGUGACCCUGAAGGAGGUGACACCUGAACUGAGAAGGGACCAGCACAGGAGAAGCCACCUGAAGAGUUCAUUGCUACAUGUGUAUACAGGACAAGGACCUGGGGCACAGGGAAGAUGCUUGAUAUGUAUUUGUUAAAUGAAUACACCGGUUAAGGAAGGAAAAAGCUGCUAAAACAGGAGCCUAAGUCUCAAGGGGUCCCAGCCAGAGUCUGGCUCUUCAGGGAGCCAUUCUCACUGGACUGAGCUGAUAAACAGGGCAGGGCCGCCCACCUGGCCAACAGCGGGGCCCUUUGGAAAGUAUGCAGCUGCAGAGUUAGCAGAGAACCAUGGUUGUGGGUCUCGGGCCUGUUUCUCCAUCUGUCAAAUGAGGUUAGAGCUUUGCCACCUCUGUCUCUGAAGUCAGCUCCAGAUUAUAUCGUGCUUUGAAAUAUUAAGCCACGUGCGAGCGUGAGGGGCUGUCACGCUCCAGGAGGUCCUCAUGCGAGCCCAGCAGCACCUCCCUGUAACACUGGGAACUGUCAGCACCUCCCUGUAACACUGGGACCUGUGAGCUUCAGACAAGCUGCUUUGUCUCAGGAAGGUUCCCGUGCUCUGCUGCUCAGCCCACAGGAGAUGUCACAUCAGCUCCUGUCUUCCUGCCCGCAUGCACUUACCAUGUACGAGCCUGUGCUGGAAACUGCUAACAGAGAUAAGAGAUGGGUCCCUGUCCUUGAGAAAGUCACAGGGAGUCCAGAGAGUCAGAUGAGCAAACAGGAUGAUACCCUGUGGGACCCGAGGGAGGGGGCACACAAUCUGCUGCUGAGAGGCAGUUAACAGCCACCACUGGGGGGAAAUAAUGGAGGCAUUGUAGGUUUCCUACAUUGUUUCCUUUUGCUGUCACAGUUUUGGGAGGUUAUCUCCAUUUCACAGAUCGGGGCUGGAAACUAAGUCAUCUGUCAAGUUCACAGAGUCUGGACUCGCACCUGGGCUGGGGUGACUCAAGUCCAUGCCCACGGGCAUACUACCACACUGGUAUGUGUGUGCUGGCAGUGGGGGGGCAGGGAGAUGGGAGGAGGCUAUUGUAGAGGUGACAGCGUGCUCUUCAUUUAGAGACUGGGGCCAAGGGGUAAUGGUGGGCAAUGAGGCUGGCACAAGGGCCAGGUGGGCUGUGGAUUCCUUGUGAAGAAGUUGAUAUGAGCAAAUCCACAAAUCCGGCCAAAAGGGAAAAUUUCCCUGGGCUUUCUGCGCAGGUCAUCCCCCUGUCCCAAGCCAGCCCCUCAGAGGACAUUCAGCAAGGGCAUCCCAUGUCCUGCAGCCAGAGGGCUACAGGGAAAACUUAACUCCCACCAGCUUCCAGCUGCUCUGACUGGGACCAUGCCCAGGUGUCACUGUCACCCUGGUCUGCUGUGGAGGGUGCCAGGCAAGAGUUCGCUCUCCCUGGAGACCCAGCUCAGCUCUUGCUAAGCAGUGGCCGUUGUGGGGCAGGAAGAGCCGAGCUGGGCCCGACCGCUGGUACGGAGCAGAAUUCUAAGGAAUUUGCAGAUGGAAUUGGGGUUACUAACAGGCUGACCUUAAAAUAGAGAGGUGAUCCUGGGUUAGCUGAGUAACCCAAAGUAAUCACAGGAGCCCUUAAAACAAGGAAGGCAGAAGAGAGACUCCAGACAUAAGGACUUAACCCACCAUGGGCGGCUUUGAAGGAGGCCACAAGUCAGGAAAUACAAGGGGCUGAGAAUGAACCCCGAGGCCCAUGGCUGGCAAGGCAACAGGAACCUCAGUCCCACAACUCGAUGGAACUGCAUCCUGCCAACACAGAACUCGAAUGCAGGUUCACUGCCGGAGUGCCCACACCCAGAUCUUGGCCUUGUGACUCAAGCAGAGCACUGGCUGGGCAUAUGAUGCUGACUUCUGACUCUCAGUUCAUGGCGGACAGUAACUGACUGCUGCUUUAAACUGAUACACCUGUGGCAACUGGUUACCGAGGAAGAAAGAUCACCUGGGCUGGAGAGUGGAGGGAACAGGGCCCAGGAUGCUGGCGAUGAAAGGACACAGGUCCCACUGUCGGUGCCAUGCUGGCCACAGGAGCAUCUCCUCUGGGACAGGAGCAUCGCAGUCAUGAGUAGUGUUAAAUGCAUUCCUUCACUCAUUCAGCCAACGUCUCUCAAACAUUUGCUACGAUAUAAGUGCUAGCUGGGUGUCUGGAGCUCAAAUCUCAUGAAAGGACAGAAGGCCAAACAGACAACACCCAGGGAAAUGAGUCCCAGGAUAGGAACAAGGUCCCCGCCCGCCCCUACCCCACCUCUGGCACCCAGAUGCUGUGGGAGGUGAGAGAAGGGUCACUGGUCCACCAGGGGUCGAGGUUUCUCAGGGCUUGAAGCCCUGUCCUGGGUCUUGGUCCCAGGAAGGAGACAGAGGCCAUGUCGGGGUGGGCCACACUCAGGGGGAAGCAGCAGACUGGCUGGGCUGGUACAUGGACCAUAAGGGACCUGGCCACCAGGUGUGCUGGGAUCAGCUCAGGAGAGCCUCACAGUUCAGACAGGAAAGUUGGGACCGAGGAUGCCAAGCAGGGGAGAGAGGCUGGGGUUAGGACACAUCCCAGGACUUCCCCAACCGUUAGGACAGUGACCUUCAAACCAUGUCAGCCCCUGCCCUCUGGGGCCAUGUGCCCCCGCACACCCUGGCUGGGGGAUAGCAGCCCGUGCCGGUGGCCUGGAGCACCACAUCCACACACACCAUCUGUAAGUGAAUGAAUUCACACUUUGGUUUGUGUACCAGCCUUGGGGACUGCUGUUCCGCCAGCACCUGGCACAUAGCAAACAAUCCAUGUUAGCUUUACAGGUAAAUAAAAGACAAAGGCAGGUGUCUGAGAGACUGGCCGCAUCAGGGAAAACAGUGAAGGAGGGGUGUCUGAUGCCCAGGACAUGAUGGGGGAGGGGUCAAGGCCUGCAGGCCAAAGGAAGCCAGCUGGGGACAGAUGGCAGACAGCAUCCCUCACCCUGUGGCACAAGCCUGGAAGCUAGGUCUGCCCUCCCUCAGGAGCUGUGCAGCAGAGCCACUGUUGCACUGUGACAGGACACCUUGAUACCCGCUUCUUGGAUGGAGAGGGUGCACUUGUUCUGAAUGAGGAGCUCAAGGUGGGAAAAUAAGCUCCGAGCUCUAUCUUUGCCACAAAGAUGGCAGCAGAGGCCCUGAGUUCAUCUGACUACAUAGGUGAUUGGGAAGGACUUCUGACUGUUCUCGCAGGGUCCAGAGGACCUGACUCUGCCACCAGCUCCCGGAGGGUGGGGGCGCUCCUGGCAGCGCCUCCCCUCCACGGGCUCUGCUUUCCUAGUGGGGUCAAAUCAAUUACUUGCAGGUCUCUAAAUGCAAAGUGCAAAGUUCCAUGUAUUGAUUCAUCUAAUCCUCAAAACAAUCUUGUGUGCUUUUCCAAGCCCAUUUCACAGAUGAAGAGGUUGGAUUGGUGAGGGGGUUUUCCACUUUUACAAAUUUUUAGUUGACAAAUCCUUCUUGGGAGAAAAGAGUACAAAAAAGACCAAUGUGUAAAACAGACAGAUUGGAGCAACCCUGUUUAGGGGAGGAAUGGAGGGAGAUAAGGCUCUCCAGAAACAAGAGGCCCUGAAGACACAUCUAUGAAGUCAGCCUUCAUGAAGGGCUGAGCCUGAGGACUGGUGAAGCUCACUCAGCUGGACUCCCUUCCCCAGGGCCACAGAUCGCCUGUGGCUGAAGUGAAGUUGUGGAGAGCGCCUCGGGGGCUGGGACUGUCCGCCCCACACCUGGACACCCUGCUCAUGCCCGCCUGGGGCAGUGCUGUGAGGGUGCGGGAGGGCCACUCCGCGGAGGCCCUGACAGGCGAUGCGUUCCUCUGAUGGCCUGUCCCACUUCAGAGCCCAGGACCUGCGUGACAACAUCCCACACCCACCCACUUCAGGAAAAGAGGACUAGGAGAGACUGGUGAGGGCAGCCAGGGCUCUGCUGAGCAGUGGGACAGUGGGGAAGACAGAAAUCCUCCAGGGUCUGCCCAGCUGGCCAGAGGGCGAAAGGGGUGCUCCAAAUCACAGACCCGCUGCAGCCUUGCCCUUAGACACCACCCAGGUCUGUCCCCCAACUUCAUAGACCAGGAAACUGAGGCCCAGAGAGAAAGAGGUGAAUUUGCCUAGGUUUCUCAGCUGAUGGGUGGCACGGCCUGGACAAGAACCCAAAUUUCUUGACCUCUGGUCCAGUACCCUUUUCCAAAGGAAAAGGAAAACAUGGUUUUGCGAGAAUAACACAGAGACAGGGCCAAAUAAGUCAAAAUGAGGACUAGACACUUGAAGGUAGGAGCCCUGUAUCUGCGACGCGAUUCUCCGUUAACCUGCCGGGUGACCUGGGGCAGAAAGCAACCCCCAACCCUGGUCUGGAUCCAGUUUCCUCCCCUGCUCCGCGGGACGCUGUCCAGGGGCCGAGUGGGGUCUAACACCCUCACCAGCACCUUCCACUCUGGAGUGAGAGGGACAGGUACAAGAGCGCCGCUGCCGCCUGGGAUCUCUGCACAGCCACUUCGCAGGCAGCCUGAGAAACGUCCGUUGCUCCACCAGGCGGAGUUCUGCCCCGCGAGUCUUCAUCCCAGGUAAGGCCCCCCCCCCACCUCGUGCACUGAGUCUACGCGCGGGCCUUUUCCUUUGAGCCAGGGAUACACCCGCCGCCCCUGCGCCGGCCCCCACAGGUCUGCGCUCAUGCACAUCGCCUUGCAUCCGUUCAGUUACCGGCACCCGCUCCCUCGCUCGCAAACUCCCGCACUAGCCCGGCCACCGCCUCUGCUCGCGCGCGCGGGGUGCUGGAGCCACACCGCGGGCGCUCUAGCCCCGGG